UCCCCUUAAAACGCACACGCGUUGAAUAUGGAGGAAAAGCGGUGCCUGUCCAAAAAGCGUCCAAAUAAAAAGGCAUGAAAUGGGUUAAAAAGAAGGAGUGUAGUGUGCUGUGGGGUUCUCCUCUUGCAGGACCCAGAAGUGAACAGCAGGCGACCCGGAAGGCUUGAAGGUUGGGAAUCGAGCAGAAAAAAGAAGAGAAGACUCCAAUCCUUGCGAAAAAAAAAUCAUCUUUCAGAAUGGCUGAACCUCGCUUCAACAGUCCCUAUUUUUGGCCCCCGCCUCCUGCCAUGGCUGUCAGCCAGGAGCAGCUGAUGGCAGAGAAGAUCAGAGCGCCUCAUCCCCCCACCACCACCCUCCCUUCCCAGCAUACCUUGCUAACGCCCCCCAGCCAGGAGGACGGCGGCCAGCACGAGAUGUCCAAAGCCCAACAUACGCCAGGUCUCAACCGGCCGUCUCAGGGGGACGUGGUCCUGCACGCCAGCCCUGCCCGGCCCGCCUCCAGCUCGCUUACAGGUCGCAUUCUUGGGGACGUAAACUUGAACCUCGACGACAAGGCGGCGAUCAAAGCCAGAGGAUUAUGGGAGGACUGGCGUCAGCUCAUAGACCAUCCUGCUAGGACAAACCACCUGUCAGGUGUCUCACUCGCCUCCCGAACAGGAAAUCUCAGCAACUCCGAGGUCACUGCCCCCACGACGCCAUCUCCUAGCAGCCCUGCCCGGCUAGUGGGCGGCGCCUCCACACCUCACCUCCUCUCGGGCUUCUCCAGCCCCCACGGAGUGGAGCCAGCGAGAACCAACGGAGGUCUCCUGGGUCUCCUCGGUGGGUCGAAGCCGAGAGAAGGACGCAGAAGAAUCAAAGCGGAGAACGGCUCAUCGCUGCUGGUGGUUCCAUACCCCAUCAUGGCGUCCAGCAACGACCAGUCAUGCAUUACCAUCACUGCCAAAGAGAAGACAUACAGGUGUAAAGUGUGCCCGCUGACCUUCUUCUCCAAGUCGGACAUGCAGAUCCACUCCAAAACACACACGGAGGCCAAGGCAUACAAGUGUCCUCAUUGCACCAAAACCUUCGCCAACGCUCCCUACCUGGCCCAGCACCUGCGCAUACACCUGGGCCUCAAGCCGUACCGCUGCUCCUACUGCGAGAAGAGUUUUCGCCAGCUGUCACACCUGCAGCAGCACACAAGAAUCCACACGGGGGACCGGCCGUAUAAAUGCUUCCAGCCUGGAUGUGAAAAAGCCUUCACUCAGUUGUCCAAUCUGCAGUCUCACCAGAGGCACCACAACAAAGACAAACCCUUCAAGUGUUCCAACUGCUACCGGGCCUAUUCGGACUCAGCCUCACUGCAGAUCCACCUGUCGGCCCACGCUAUCAAGGCCGCCAGGGCCUACUGCUGCAGCACAUGCGACAGGGCGUACACGUCGGAGACCUACCUCAUGAAGCACAUGUGUAAACGCUCGGCGGUCCAUCACGGGGGGCCGCGUCACUCCGCCGAGCGCAGGGCUGACCCUGCCCUCCACCCCCGCACCGAUUCCUCUGACUUGAGCGCCUCCAUCUUGUCUCGACAUCACCUUUCUCUUGCCGUCUAAUAUGGUGGACUUUAAAGGCACUGAGGGUCAUUCAAGUGUACCCGUGUGUUAAUAAUAAUAAUAAUAAUAAUAAUAAUAAUAAUAAUUUGGAACGUCCAAAUGUGUCUAAUGAGCACUUUCAGGUCUGAAAACGACAGACUUAAAAAAAAUACAAUGAAAUCAUUGUGUAAUAUCACAGCAAGUGUUAUGUGCAAGAUAUUUUUAAAUCUAUUGUAAUGUACCAGAUUGUGUUUUUUAUACGCUCCCUAACUUUUGUAUGCUGGUAAGAUACUGUAGAAAGAUUUUAGAAAUAGUCCUCACUCAUGAUGUCGGUCUGUGUAUACAGUAUUAUUAUUCAUGUUUUAUACCAUGACUCUCCAUUCGCCUACAGGAGGAUGCAUUUUCAUGUGUAGAUGAUGCAUUCAAACUGCCUUGUGUGUCCUAACACGGCACAAGGACACAUUUACAUUCCAAAAUAUACUACACUAAGUCCCCAACUAACGAACACAAUUGGUUCCAGACGACCGUUCUUAUGUUGAAUCGCUCUUAAGUCGGGGAAAAGGUAAUAUUACCAAAGAUAUAAGUACUACAUGUACGUGUAUACAUAUACAGUAUAUGUGUAUGUAUGGAAAUAUGAGUUUGGAUGCAGUAGUAAUAUUAAACGAGGAUAAUUAAUGAAAAAAACAAUAAUAAAAGUGAUAUAAUAAUACAUAAUGAUAAAUGUUAUUUACCUUUGAAGAGGAGUGGUCGAGCAUACGUCGUUGUGGAGGAGUUGGAGGAGGAGAUAGUGAAAAAAAGGAGAAAUGGUCAUCGUCGUUAGACUCUUCUAAAAGAGGUAAUGUUCUAUGAGUGGUGUAGAAUUAAGCAGGCCUAUUAACUCUUCAUAAACUUUAAUCACACGCUCUGUCCGGGUUGUACAAUUUAGCUUUCCAUUUAGCUUUACACUGUAUCUCCCCAGCGUCUAACUCUUCCUCUGUUGGUCCCAUUAGCUCUAAGACUGCAUUAGCAGUGUCACAGUGCCCUCUACUGGUCAAGCAUGUACGGUAGCAGUAUAAAUACUGACUGAGCGACUGACUACAAGGCAAAAUAAAAUAAGAUAUAGACCAGUCGACUUGUGUUCGUAUCUGCGAGUGUUCGCUAGUCGGGUGUUCGUAAGUUGGGGACCUAGUGUAUAUAAAUUAAAUAUAUUAAAUUUACCUCUGAGGAUUUCCUGGGUCUGAAGCCUGCUGCGUAGUUCAAUGUCACACAAAAAACUCAGUAAAAACUGAACACCCAAUAGUAGUCUUACUAGACAUGGGGAUGGAUCAGCUGCAGUGCAAACACUCUGGCCACGCCCUGAGGUACAGCUGCACAAUCUAAUGAGGUAUAAAAAAUGCAGCCUUUCCAAAGACGAUAAGGCUCAGUUCACACACUUUAUAUUCAUUUAAAAAAUGUCUAUUCAUUUUUGUAGUGUUCCGGUUUUAAACACUAUUUUUUUCAAGGUGCUACACCUCAGACCAUCGAACCUGCUGAUCUAGAGCAUUCUAAUCAAUUAAAUACAUUUAGAUGAUUGAACAUGACUAUUGAGAGACU